rnacentral:rRNA from 1 species
UACGAAGGGGGCUAGCGUUGCUCGGAAUCACUGGGCGUAAAGGGUGCGUAGGCGGGUCUUUAAGUCAGGGGUGAAAUCCUGGAGCUCAACUCCAGAACUGCCUUUGAUACUGAAGAUCUUGAGUUCGGGAGAGGUGAGUGGAACUGCGAGUGUAGAGGUGAAAUUCGUAGAUAUUCGCAAGAACACCAGUGGCGAAGGCGGCUCACUGGCCCGAUACUGACGCUGAGGCACGGAAAGCGUGGGGAGCAACA